AGAGUUUGAUCCUGGCUCAGAACGAACGCUGGCGGCAGGCCUAACACAUGCAAGUCGAGCGCGCCUUUCGGGGUGAGCGGCGGACGGGUUAGUAACGCGUGGGAACGUACCCUUUUCUGCGGAAUAGCCUCUGGAAACGGAGAGUAAUACCGCAUACGCCCUUCGGGGGAAAGAUUUAUCGGAGAAGGAUCGGCCCGCGUUAGAUUAGAUAGUUGGUGGGGUAACGGCUUACCAAGUCUACGAUCUAUAGCUGGUUUUAGAGGAUGAUCAGCAACACUGGGACUGAGACACGGCCCAGACUCCUACGGGAGGCAGCAGUGGGGAAUCUUGGACAAUGGGGGCAACCCUGAUCCAGCCAUGCCGCGUGAGUGAAGAAGGCCCUAGGGUCGUAAAACUCUUUCGCCUGUGAUGAUAAUGACAGUAGCAGGUAAAGAAACCCCGGCUAACUCCGUGCCAGCAGCCGCGGUAAUACGGAGGGGGUUAGCGUUGUUCGGAAUUACUGGGCGUAAAGCGCACGUAGGCGGAUUAGAAAGUUAGAGGUGAAAUCCCGGGGCUCAACCCCGGAACUGCCUUUAAAACUACUAGUCUAGAGUUCGAGAGAGGUGAGUGGAAUUCCGAGUGUAGAGGUGAAAUUCGUAGAUAUUCGGAGGAACACCAGUGGCGAAGGCGGCUCACUGGCUCGAUACUGACGCUGAGGUGCGAAAGUGUGGGGAGCAAACAGGAUUAGAUACCCUGGUAGUCCACACCGUAAACGAUGAAUGCCAGUCGUCGGGUAGUAUACUAUUCGGUGACACACCUAACGGAUUAAGCAUUCCGCCUGGGGAGUACGGUCGCAAGAUUAAAACUCAAAGGAAUUGACGG
rnacentral:rRNA from 1 species